rnacentral:rRNA from 1 species
CCUACGGGGGGCAGCAGUGGGGAAUAUUGCGCAAUGGGCGAAAGCCUGACGCAGCGACGCCGCGUGAGGGAUGAAGGUCUUCGGAUCGUAAACCUCUGUCAGCAGGGAAGAACGGUCACUGUGCUAAUCAGCAGUGACUUGACGGUACCUGCAAAGGAAGCACCGGCUAACUCCGUGCCAGCAGCCGCGGUAAUACGGAGGGUGCGAGCGUUAAUCGGAAUUACUGGGCGUAAAGCGCUCGUAGGCGGUAUGUCAAGUCAAGGGUGAAAUCCCCGCGCUCAACGUGGGAACUGCCUUUGAAACUGGCAAACUGGAGUGUGUGAGAGGAUAGUGGAAUUCCAGGUGUAGGGGUGAAAUCCGUAGAUAUCUGGAGGAACAUCAGUGGCGAAGGCGACUAUCUGGCACAUAACUGACGCUGAGGAGCGAAAGCGUGGGUAGCAAACAGGAUUAGAUACCCCGGUAGUC